rnacentral:misc_RNA from 1 species
AGUUUUCAUUUGAAUACUCCAAGAACAAAUUCACUGCUAUAACAUGGUAAAAAGGCUCUGUCACUAACAACCAACAGAAUACACAAAUAGCACAAGGCAUUGAGCUGUUUGAGAAAAGGUAUUUCCAUUCUAUCAUCUGCCUGCCUUAAUUCUUUAAAUCACAGAUAAAAACAUGAUUGCGAAAGAAACUACAAAGUAUAAACACAGCUGAAUCAGGCUGACAUUUAUUUUGAUUUAGUGAAGGCAACAGCAUUUGUCAAUCAAACCCAUUUCAGGAAGAGAAAGUAAAUAAGAAACAAGACCCGUCUCAACUAAUAGUGGCCAUGUUGAAGUACUAAACCAGGCAAAACAUUACCAAUAAAGGUAUUAGCAAUCAAUAACCCAAUAGAUCACCAGCUAAAAUAUGGUUCAAGAGUCACGGGACUUCACAAUGAAGUUUUGGCGACUGAUUGGAUUCAUCACAACUGGUGGCCCUGCAGUACGAGGCCAUGCCUGGAAUUUCUUGUCAGUUUCUUCCCACCAUUCAUUGCUUGCAACAGUUUUAGGGGUAGUGCCUCCAAAUAUCUUCUUGUCAGCAAUAAGUUGGUCACAUGCAUAUGCAAUCGCAAAUGAUCCGACUACAGCAGAAAUAAUAUACUUGGCUGCCAUGCUCAAA